rnacentral:rRNA from 1 species
UACGUAGGGUCCGAGCGUUGUCCGGAAUUAUUGGGCGUAAAGGGCUCGUAGGCGGUUUGUCGCGUCGGGAGUGAAAACACGGGGCUUAACCCCGUGCCUGCUUCCGAUACGGGCAGACUAGAGGUAUGCAGGGGAGAACGGAAUUCCUGGUGUAGCGGUGAAAUGCGCGGAUAUCAGGAGGAACACCGGUGGCGAAGGCGGUUCUCUGGGCAUUACCUGACGCUGAGGAGCGAAAGCGUGGGGAGCGAACAGG